UACAGAGGUGCCGAGCGUUAGGCGGAAUCACUGGGCUUAAAGCGUGUGUAGGCGGGCCGUUAAGUAUUUUGUGAAAUCCCCCGGCUCAACCGGGGAAUGGCUGGAUAUACUGGCGGUCUUGAGCAGUCUAGGGGCAGAUGGAACAAGUGGUGGAGCGGUGAAAUGCGUAGAUAUCAGGAGGAACACCGGUGGCGAAGGCGGGUCUCUGGGCCGAUAUUGACGCUGAGGAGCGAAAGCGUGGGGAGCGAACAGG
rnacentral:rRNA from 1 species